GGAAAAUGAAGUCACAGGUCCCUUAUGAUGCAUGGCUAGGAUCUGAUGAGACCACUUGGGAGGAUUUUUAGGGUUCACCUUCGGAGGACUUUUAGGGCUUGGCCGUGUAAUAUUCGGGAUUUUAAUGGAUUAUCAACCACAAGAGCAGUGACUGAGGCCUCGUUUGGCACACCGUAUUAAGCAUCGGAUAGGGUUAAUAAUGCGGGAGUGGGUGUUUGGAGACUUACGUACUAAAUAGUCGCCGAACUAACAAAUCCGGUCCAAAUUAAUUAGUACGCCUCAAAUCCGCUAGUUAGUACGCUAAAAAAACUCGGUAUAAUUUAGUCGGCCUCAAAACGCCUCGCACCCCUCUCGCAUCUGCUCCGUCAUCUCGUGUCUGUUGCUCUGGAGAUUCAGAGCUAAAUCAGCGAAACCACUCCCGCUCACACCUGAUUGCAUCAUCUUCCUCAUGGGUGUUUUCUCGUUUCAUCUUCAUCGUCUUCCUUUUGCUGCAAUUUUCUUUUUUUUCUUCUUUUUUUCUCUUUUUC
rnacentral:lncRNA from 1 species